CCUACAAGUAGAUCACUUUUGAUCAAUCGUGACCAUUCAGUAUCUCCAAACCUCCCUCCUUUCGCAUGCUCUCGCAUCACUUUGGAGCAUUUUAUCAAAUCUAUAACCAGAUAUGGUUACUUCAUAGAACUGUGUGAAAAGUCCUUAGUUGGCCCCUUUUGCAUGCAAAAAUAUAGUGCAUGCCAUCCUCAUCCUUAACUAUUGGGAAUUGUGUCCUAAAAUCAAUCGUGUGAUAAUUGAAUUCAUCCUUGUAUAUUAAUUAUUAAUCAAUUGAAUAAUAUUUAUUCUGAUAUUUUUCAUCACAAAAUGAAUCUUCCUUGAACUCUUGUACUGUGAUGAAGUCCCUAAAACUAUACUAGUGUACGAUAAAGAGAGAAUUUAUCGUAUAGUUCUUAAACAUGUUCGCGACCAAAUGAUACGUCAUUACGAGACAAUGACGUUUAUCGAGUGAAGGUCAUUGUGUGCCAUAUGGGUUGGUUGUCCUCUUAACCAAGGAGUGUGGUGAUACUAGUAUGGCAUACAGGUGAGAUGUAGGAGUACAUCGUUACUGAACAAGUGACUCACCUGCUGAGCAUUCUGCUGUCAAAAGCUACUCGCGAAACACAUGGGUAUAAGUAUCAUUCAGACAUGAGAUCACCAUAGUAACUUACAAGCAACUCACUGUGCUUUGAUGCCGAACUAUCUGGAUUUCAAAUGCAAUGACGAAAGGCUACUGGGUACAGUCAAGUACUUGCGAAAUCUGUGUGCGGAUCAAAAUGUGAUUGACCCCUCUGGAUUAUUGGAGUUGAUGUAUCACUGUAUUUCAAUUUAGUAAAGUCUUGACCAAGGUAAUCCAUGAG
rnacentral:lncRNA from 1 species